UGGGGAAUUUUGGACAAUGGGGGCAACCCUGAUCCAGCAAUGCCGCGUGUGUGAAGAAGGCCUUCGGGUUGUAAGCACUUUUGUCCGGAAAGAGAACGCCGUGGUUAAUACCCGUGGCGGAUGACGGUACCGGAAGAAUAAGCACCGGCUAACUACGUGCCAGCAGCCAGCGGUAAUACGUAGGGUGCAAGCGUUAAUCGGAAUUACUGGGCGUAAAGCGUGCGCAGGCGGUCCGCUAAGACAGAUGUGAAAUCCCCCGGGCUUAAACCUGGGAACUGCAAUUUGUGACAUGGCGGGCUAGAGUAUGGCAGAGGGGGGUAGAAUUCCACGUGUAGCAGUGAAAUGCGGUAAGAGAUGUGGAGGAAUACCGAUGGCGAAGGCAGCCCCCCUGGGCCAAUACUGACGCUCAAUGCACGAAAAGCGGUGGGGAGCAAAACAGGAUUAGAUCACCCUGGUAGUCCACGCCCUAAACGAUGUC
rnacentral:rRNA from 1 species